rnacentral:rRNA from 1 species
UACGUAGGCGGUCUGAUAAGUCAGGUGUAAAAGGCAAUGGCUCAACCAUUGUAAGCACUUGAAACUGUUGGACUUGAGUACAGGAGAGGUAAGUGGAAUUCCUAGUGUAGCGGUGAAAUGCGUAGAUAUUAGGAGGACACCAGUGGCGAAGGCGACUUACUGGACUGUAACUGACGCUGAGGUACGAAAGCGUGGGGAGCGAACA